UACGGAGGGUGCGAGCGUUGUCCGGAAUCAUUGGGCGUAAAGGGCGCGUAGGCGGAACGUUAAGUCCGAUCUGAAAGCCCCCGGCUCAACCGGGGAGGGUGGUUGGAAACUGGCGUUCUUGAGGACGAGAGAGGGGAGUGGAAUUCCUGGUGUAGGCGGUGAAAUGCGUAGAUAUCAGGAGGAACACCCAUGGCGAAGGCAGCUCCCUGGCUC
rnacentral:rRNA from 1 species